rnacentral:rRNA from 1 species
CCUACGGGAGGCAGCAGUGGGGAAUUUUGGACAAUGGGCGCAAGCCUGAUCCAGCCAUGCCGCGUGAGUGAAGAAGGCCUUCGGGUUGUAAAGCUCUUUUGCCAGGGACGAUAAUGACGGUACCUGGAGAAUAAGCCCCGGCAAACUUCGUGCCAGCAGCCGCGGUAAU